rnacentral:hammerhead_ribozyme from 1 species
AUUCAGCUGACGAGUCCAAAAUAGAACAAAAGAAAGCAUCCUGGAU